rnacentral:rRNA from 1 species
AAUGAACGCUGGCGGCAUGCCUAACACAUGCAAGUCGAACGAAGGCUUCGGCCUUAGUGGCGCACGGGUGCGUAACGCGUGGGAAUCUGCCCCUUGGUUCGGAAUAACAGUUAGAAAUGACUGCUAAUACCGGAUGAUGACGUAAGUCCAAAGAUUUAUCGCCGAGGGAUGAGCCCGCGUAGGAUUAGCUAGUUGGUGUGGUAAGAGCGUACCAAGGCGACGAUCCUUAGCUGGUCUGAGAGGAUGAUCAGCCACACUGGGACUGAGACACGGCCCAGACUCCUACGGGAGGCAGCAGUGGGGAAUAUUGGACAAUGGGCGAAAGCCUGAUCCAGCAAUGCCGCGUGAGUGAUGAAGGCCUUAGGGUUGUAAAGCUCUUUUACCCGGGAUGAUAAUGACAGUACCGGGAGAAUAAGCUCCGGCUAACUCCGUG